rnacentral:rRNA from 1 species
ACUGCUUUAUCUGGGGGAUAGCCUUUCGAAAGGAAGAUUAAUACCCCAUAAUAUGUUGAAUGGCAUCAUUCGACAUUGAAAACUCCGGUGGAUAGAGAUGGGCACGCGCAAGAUUAGAUAGUUGGUGAGGUAACGGCUCACCUAGGCGACGAUCCCUAGCUGGUCUGAGAGGAUGAUCAGCCACACUGGGACUGAGACACGGCCAGACUCCUACGGGAGGCAGCAGUGGGGAAUAUUGCACAAUGGGCGCAAGCCUGAUGCAGCCAUGCCGCGUGUAUGAAGAAGGCCUUCGGGUUGUAAAGUACUUUCAGUCGGGAGGAAGGUGGUAAGGUUAAUAACCUUAUCAAUUGACGUUACCGACAGAAGAAGCACCGGCUAACUCCGUGCCAGCAGCCGCGGUAAUACGGAGGGUGCAAGCGUUAAUCGGAAUUACUGGGCGUAAAAGCGCACGCAGGCGGUUCGAUUCGAGUCACGAUGUGAAAUCCCCGGGCUUAACCCGGGAAUUGCACUCCUGAUUAACCUUCGGGGUUCCNAGGCUUAACGAAAGUUCCCUCUUGGGUACAACAGNGGGGGGGGGAUAAAGAAAAAUCACCCACGGUC